rnacentral:rRNA from 1 species
AAGUCGAACGAUGAAAGCGGGAGCUUGCUCCUGCUGGAUUAGUGGCGAACGGGUGAGUAACACGUGAGUAACCUGCCCUUGACUCUGGGAUAAGCGUUGGAAACGACGUCUAAUACCGGAUACGACCUUCGGAGGCAUCUCCUGGGGGUGGAAAGAAUUUCGGUCAAGGAUGGACUCGCGGCCUAUCAGCUAGUUGGUGAGGUAAUGGCUCACCAAGGCGACGACGGGUAGCCGGCCUGAGAGGGUGACCGGCCACACUGGGACUGAGACACGGCCCAGACUCCUACGGGAGGCAGCAGUGGGGAAUAUUGCACAAUGGGCGCAAGCCUGAUGCAGCAACGCCGCGUGAGGGACGACGGCCUUCGGGUUGUAAACCUCUUUUAGUAGGGAAGAAGCGAAAGUGACGGUACCUGCAGAAAAAGCACCGGCUAACUACGUGCCAGCAGCCGCGGUAAUACGUAGGGUGCAAGCGUUAUCCGGAAUUAUUGGGCGUAAAGAGCUCGUAGGCGGUUUGUCACGUCUGCUGUGAAAACUGGAGGCUCAACCUCCAGCCUGCAGUGGGUACGGGCAGACUAGAGUGCGGUAGGGGAGAUUGGAAUUCCUGGUGUAGCGGUGGAAUGCGCAGAUAUCAGGAGGAACACCGAUGGCGAAGGCAGAUCUCUGGGCCGUAACUGACGCUGAGGAGCGAAAGCAUGGGGAG